rnacentral:rRNA from 1 species
AUUGAACGCUGGCGGCAGGCCUAACACAUGCAAGUCGAACGAGUGGCGCACGGGUGUGUAAUGUCUGGGAAACUGCCCGAUGGAGGGGGAUCACUACUGGAAGCGGUCUCUUAUCCCGCAUACCAUCAGCUGCCCCCAUAUGGGAUGAGCUAGUAGGUGGGGUAACGGCUCACCUAGGCGACGAUCCCUAGCUGGUCUGAGAGGAUGACCAGCCACACUGGAACUGAGACACGGUCCAGACUCCUACGGGAGGCAGCAGUGGGGAAUAUUGCACAAUGGGCGCAAGCCUGAUACAGCCAUGCCGCGUGUAUGAAGAAGGCCUUCGGGUUGUAAAGUACUUUCAGCGAGGAGGCGUUACUCGCAGAAGAAGCACCGGCUAACUCCGUGCCAGCCGCCGCGGUAAUAC